rnacentral:rRNA from 1 species
UACGAAGGGGGCUAGCGUUGUUCGGAAUCACUGGGCGUAAAGCGCACGUAGGCGGAUGUGCCAGUCAGGGGUGAAAUCCCGGAGCUCAACUUCGGAACUGCCUCUGAUACAGCACGUCUCGAGUCCGGAAGAGGUGAGUGGAAUUCCUAGUGUAGAGGUGAAAUUCGUAGAUAUUAGGAAGAACACCAGUGGCGAAGGCGGCUCACUGGUCCGGUACUGACGCUGAGGUGCGAAAGCGUGGGGAGCAAACAGG